CAUUAGAUGCAGCGCGCGUGGAAGUGAAGGUCUGUCGGAGCUGGAGGAGGCGCCAAGAGGAGCCCAAGAGAAGUUGAUGCGCACUACAGUGAAUAUUGAGGCUAUGGGGAACCAGAAGCGAUAGGGGUAUCAAAUCCAUGCCAAGGUGCAGGAUCAAAAUCAAUUUAAGGAACCAUCGUCGUUCUUUGAACAUUUUUUGUAGUUGGACUCCAUUCUUAAGAAAAUGUUGCAUUAAUUGAGGAUGCUUUUGCAAAAAAAGAAAGCUUGGGAGUCUAAUGUAGAAUGUUCAGAGGUUGUUGAUCAUUGUAAAAUUCAGUACUAUGGACCAAUACCAAUCAUGGAACCACAUAUAUGGUGCUUUGUUGACUAGUAUCCUCGAUCCGCCUGACCCCAACGACUCGCCUCCUUCCUGCCACAAGGGAUCUAAAGGCAUCCCCGAUCCGCCCGAACCCAACGAC